CUCCUCUCAAGGUCACACCUGGAGAGUUUCCAGUACUCUACCAGGCUUGACUACAGGAGGGAGAGUCAAGCAGAGGCAUACCCAUUCCAUUCCUACCUUGGGCAGUGGAUAGUGAGUGGAAGGCAAUCUGCUACAAGU
rnacentral:snoRNA from 2 species